rnacentral:rRNA from 1 species
CAGUCGCCGCGGGAAUACAGAGGGUGCGAGCGUUAAUCGGAUUUACUGGGCGUAAAGCGUGCGUAGGCGGCUUCUUAAGUCGGAUGUGAAAUCCCUGAGCUUAACUUAGUAAUUGCAUUCGAUACUGGGAAGCUAGAGUAUGGGAGAGGAUGGUAGAAUUCCAGGUGUAGCGGUGAAAUGCGUAGAGAUCUGGAGGAAUACCGAUGGCGAAGGCAGCCAUCUGGCCUAAUACUGACGCUGAGGUACGAAAGCAUGGGGAGCAAACAGGAUUAGAUACCCCUGUAGUCCCUGUCUCUUAUAC